GCAUUGACGACGGCCGUCCCAGUGGCGCUGCUGAAGGUGGGCGAGGCGCUGCGCGCGCCCCGGCGGCUGCACGGAGGAUGCGUGGCGGCGUACGCCGGGGUGAGCGGCGACCGCACCCCCGUCCACCUGGACAACGCCUUCGCGCGCGGGACGGGCGGGUUCCAGCGCGGCCGCGUGGUGCACGGCAUGCUCGUCGCCUCCUUCUUCCCCGCCCUCAUCGCCUCCCACGUCCCUGGAGCCGUGUACGUGAGCCAGUCUCUCAAGUUCACGGCGCCGGUGCACGUCGGAGACGAGGUGGUCGCGCAGGUGCAGGCGCUCCACAUCAAGGCCACCGGCGCAAGGCACGUCGUCAAGUUCGCCACCAAGUGCUUCACGGACGAUGAGGAGACUCUCGCCAUUGACGGCGAGGCCAUGACUUUUCUGCCCACGCUGCAGCUCAGCGCAGAGGCAAUCGAGUGA
rnacentral:rRNA from 1 species